rnacentral:rRNA from 1 species
GACGAACGCUGGCGGCGUGCUUAACACAUGCAAGUCGAACGGAAAGGCCCUGCUUUUGUGGGUUGCUCGAUUGGCGAACGGGUGAGUAACACGUGAGUAACCUGCCCUUGUCUUUGUGAUAACUUCAGGAAACUGGGGCUAAUACCGGAUAUGAUCUCCUGCUGCAUGUUGGGGGUUGGAAAGUUUCGGCGGUUGGGGAUGGACUCGCGGCUUAUCCGCUUGUUGGUGUGGUAGUGGCUUACCAAGGCUUUGACGGCUAGCCGGCCUGAGAGGGUUAACGGCGACAUUGGGACUGAGAGACGGACCAGAAGCGUACGGGAGGCAGCAGGGGGGAAUAUGGCACAAUGGGCGGAAGCCUGAUGCAGCAACGCCGCGUGCGGGAUGACGGCCUUCGGGUUGUAAACAGAUUUCGACUGUGACGAAGAGUGAGUGACGGUAAUGGGUAAAGAAGCAACGGCUAACUACGUG